CCGUUCAUUUCCUCUGUUCGUCCCCUUCCGUCUCCGUCAUUUCUUCUGCUCAUCCCCUCUCUCUCAUCCGCCAAUGAAGGAUUUGCUCCAAUCCACCACCAUCCGCGGGCACUUUUGGGCUCUCGCGAGAGCAUCUCCGAGUGGGAUCGAACCAUCGCCCCUUUUUUGCGCCCCGUUUGCUGCAUCUACUCCCUCUAGGGUUCAUUCUUCUGAUUUUUGCUGCAUAUGCUCCCCUCGUUGAGGUCAUUUAGAAUCAAGUUUUGGCAGGGAAGUGCAGAUCAGUGUAGGUGAGUACAUGACCCGCCCACCACCCUCUCGAAUCCAUGUCUCUCAUCCGCAGGAGUGUUGGAUUUUUCGAGGCUUUCUCACGCGGAGGUUAUCAUCGAGGUCAUUUGGAAUUGGAGAUCUCUUUGGAAUCGAGGGGGGUGGUCAGGAAUUUUGCAGAUCAGUGUAGCUCAUCGGCAAGCACAUCUGCAGGGGGUCCGUGAUCGACUAGAACUGCAAAUCACCCCGGGGGUUCGGCGGUAUCUCAGGUCUGAAAUAGUCGAAGUCCUUCUCACAAGGGGAAGGCUCACAUCGGAUCAGGAGAAAAUUUUCACUAGUUUUUGUCUCUCUGAAACACACACCAAUUACAAUGCCAAGAGCACAGAAGCAGCGACAUGCACGUGCGGCAUCAUCCAAUGCAAACAUUAGAUACAGGGCAUCCCCUGCUAGACUUGUGAAGUUAUAUGAAUACAUAUCUAAAGAUCAGCGGGCUAUGAUUUUUGAUGCAGAGGGUAGUGGAAAUUAGAGAGCGCUAAAGAGGGGUGCACAAUAAGCUUGGGCAAGGAAGCAGCUAAGCAAUAAACAAGUUGCCUUCUGUAAGUAGCACCAAAGCACAUACGCUGGGAUCAGUUGGAGGUACUGUUUUGGCUGGAAUUCUAGGUUGCCUAUGCUAAAUCAACAAGGACUCAAGGAGAUUGUGCAUUAUUAGUUUAGCAUUGUUUUGUAUGAGAAUAUCAUCAAUAAAGAUAUGUAGUAAAUAUUUGUGAAAAGCACUAACUCUGCAUAAAGUACAGCUGAACCUAAUCAUAACAUUUCUGUUAGUAUGUUUUUGAUCUUGGUGGUGCGGGUAACAAGUCCACCAUUUUGCUAUAUCUUUUUCUUAGAGCUAUGAUGGUGUAUUAGGCCAAUUUUCAAAAAUAAUAUAGUUCAAUAGGCAAUAACAUGGUUCUGAUUAUACAAUUUAAUAGUUAUGACUAGAAAAAACAAUGUACUUUGUUAUGCAAAAUUAAGGUUCCCACCUAGGCAAUAUGGGAGGGAAUCAGGACAUAUUAUGAUUUUAGAUUAUACAAAUCAAUAUACUUCAUUAGGCCAUAAACUACUUGGAAUGGACAUCUAAAAUGCUUAAUUGGAAUAAAACUCAGGCUCAUAAAACAUCCAUAUAUAGAUUGACUUUCAUUACAUAUACAAAUUGUACAGAGCACUACUGGCUUAUAAAACUCACUGGUUUGCUACUUUCUUACGCCACCUUUGACACUCAGGCUGCUAAUUUGAUCUAUGUUUUUGUUUCCUAGAUGUGUAGUUUUGAUUAGUGCACAAGCACGUUUAUACAUAAACUCUUCAAAGUGUAUGACAUGGAAAUACACAACCACAUAUUCUACAUGACAAUGUGCUCAUGUCUUCUUAGUUUAACUAGUAAUUGCUUGAUGACAUGUACUAACAUGCUAGAAUUUGAUUAGCAGUUCUAUUCAUCCAAUUAUUCUAACAAUGUUUUGUUAAAAUAUAUCAGUAGUUCAGUACAUGUUAACAGUUGCGAUGAUUGUGUUUAUACAUCUCUGUUACUUUCUUU